rnacentral:rRNA from 1 species
GACGAACGCUGGCGGCGUGCCUAAUCCAUGCAAGUAGAACGCAGUUGCGAACGGGUGAGUAACGCGUAGGUAACUGCCUCAUAGCGGGGGAUAACUAUUUGAAACGAUAGCUAAUACCGCAUACUGUGAGAUGGACCUGCGUUGUAGUAGCUAGUUGGUGGGGUAAAGGCUCACCAAGGCGACGAUACAUAGCCGACCUGAGAGGGUGAUUGGCCACCCUGGGACUGAUAUACGGCCCAGACUCCUAUGGGAGGCAGCAGUAGGGAAUCUUCGGCAAUUGACGGAAUGUGGACCGAGCAAUGCCGCGUGAGUGAAGAAGGUUUUCGGAUUUUAAAACUCUGUUGUUAGAGAAGCGGUAUCUAACCAGAAAGCCACGGCUAACUACGUGCCAGCCGCCGCGGUAAUUC